rnacentral:rRNA from 1 species
GACGAACGCUGGCGGCGUGCUUAACACAUGCAAGUCGAACGGAAAGGCCCUGCUUUUGUGGGGUGCUCGAGUGGCGAACGGGUGAGUAACACGUGAGUAACCUGCCCUUGACUUUGGGAUAACUUCAGGAAACUGGGGCUCAUACCGGGUAGGAGCUCCUGCUGCAUGGUGGGGGUUGGAAAGUUUCGGCGGUUGGGGAUGGACUCGCGGCGUAUCAGCUUGUUGGUGGGGUAGUGGCUUACCAAGGCUUUGAAGGGUAGCCGGCCUGCGAGGGUGACCGGCCACGUUGGGACUGGGAUACGGCCCAGACUCCUAUGGGACGCAGCAGUGGGGAAUAUUGCACAAUGGGCGGGAGCCUGAUGCAGCAACGCCGCGUGCGGGAUGACGGGCUGCGGGUUGUAAACCGCUUUCGCCUGAGACGAGGCGUGAGUGACGGUAAUGGGUAAAGAAGCACCGGCUAACUACGUG